AACGACUCACAAGCAACGCGACAAAAACCAAAAAAUCACGCAACUCCAGCUCGCAUCAGACGCGAAAUCAGCAAACACCGCGUGCUCUCCUUAUCGUCUCGUACAGGCGUACCCGAACAGAGCAGGUGUCUCAAUCCUGUCGCUCGCUCGUCCUUACUCAUAAUCGGAUGGCCUUGGUUCUGAAUCCGUUGAGAAUUCGUACGAAUUCCAGCUCCCUCGACCUUAUCCAUUAAGAGUUCUGAAUUGUGAGGCAUUCCCACAUCGUUUUCCCCCUCAAUUCCAACCCAGAAGUGGCCCUAUAUAAACCCUCUUCAUUCACUGUUUUAGGAGAGGAUUUUCGGAGACCAAAGAGUACCCAUAAAAUUUUGGGAAUUCUUGGUCCCAUAGUUCAAAAUUUUAAAGCGUUUUGUGGCUUUCGAGUUGAAGAGGUGGAGUCGUCUUGGAAGACUCGUCGCUGCGCAGAACCAGGUAAUCUUCUUGCCCUUUGUCAGUGUUGCAUUCUAGAGUUGUUAUUUGUUUAGAUUCAAUAUGAUUAGUGGUGUGAAUGACAGUGGAAGUCUUCUUAAAGUUAAGUAAAUUUUGAAGGAGUUCAAAUGUUUUGCUCUGCUGAAAGUUAUUUUCCAUGUCAAUGUGAUUCUUUAUUUCAUCAAGUUCAUAAAUCCAUACAUGUGUUUCCACUUACUAUUAUCUCUAUUCGGUUGGAAAUUUGUGCGAUAUAGUUGGUUUUUUUUUUGCCUUAAGUUGUUGUGUUCUGCAUAAAGAUUAUCACCUCGCCUUUUGCCAAAGCCUGAUUUCUCGUAUCUGUUUUAUAAAUACUAGGUUGUGCAACUGCUGUUUUGUUAUAUUAAGGUGAAAAUUAGUUGUUGGGUUGCUUUCUUAUUGUCUUCAAAACGUUUUGAUUGCUAUUGAUAUGAAAAAUGUCUUUAUUUCCUACCUUAGCUUCUUUGAUCCAUAGUUGUGCAUACCUUAGCAAUAUUACAUAACCAUGUUUUUUCCCCAGACGUUGCUGGUUGCUUUCCUUUCUGUUAGAUUUUGAAUUAAAUGCUUCAGGAUAUGCAUGUCGUUUUAAUAUUUGAUAGUAUGAUUUCUUUGUUGUUUUAUAUGGGUUAGUAUCAUAAACCUCUUUAUUUUGUUAAGUAGCAUGUUCUAUGCCAUCUAUACUUGCUUUGUAUAGUUUCUGUUCUGCGUUAAUUCCUGUUGUAGAUGCUUAGUUUUGUUAUGUGUAAUGAAUAACAACUCACUGGUUUGAAAGCUUUAAAUAUGUAAGUUGGGUAAUUGGAUUCAAAACUUUGGUUCUAGUAUUUUAUUUCUCGUCUUAAUAGUUUCUUAAAUACAGGUGAUUUGCUCUUUAUAGUUUAGUUUUCUUAAUUAUAUCGGAAAUGGAUAAGAAGCCUCUUGUUUGUUCUUAUGUUAGAUAUUAUUCUCUUUUAGGUCUAGUCGAUUUGUUUUCUUUUUAAAUGCCCCGUGUAAUUCAAAUUAUCUCAAGGUUUCUUUGCUUCUCAAAUAGAUGUUGGUCUCAUUUUGAUUUUUAAUGUGAGCUCAUUUAAAGUUCCUUUCCAUUUUGUGUCUUAAACUGUUUAUUUGAGAUAUGUUAUCUAGUUUUGAAUGUUCACUGGCUUAGAUUAAUAUUAUUUAUGAUUGAUUCUAAUUCUUAUCUUUUCUUCCUUUUCUCUACUCUGCAUGAGCACUUCGAGUUCAAUGGACUCCACUUCUCUUGCAUUAUUCCACUUCUUGAGUCAACCUUCUUCGGAGUCGUGAAAGGGAGUCAUGUUAUUGGGUUAAACACCCAAAAAUCAGCAGCAACAACAGCUCCAAAUAGCUCAAUAAAUUGGGUUUAAACACCCAAAAAAUGCAACAGCAGCAGUAGCCUUAAAAGGCCAAACCUGAAGCAGCAACUACAGGUCCCCAAAGGGACACAAAUUGUUGAUUCAAGUCCAAUUUAUAUAGUAAUCCCGGCAGCAGCUAAGCAAGAAGCAUGAAAUGGGGGUUAAAAACCAAAAUCGAUGAAGUAACAAAUCGACAUUUCAGCCCCCGAAAUUUCAGUUUUAUAAUUUAUUAUUUAUGUUUGUCUUCUCGUUAUUAUUUUGGUCAUUGUGAAUGCUAACCCUUUGUUUUGUUGUUAACUUUUUUUAAAACUUAGAUGAAUCCUUUGGAGGUUUUCGAAUGGCUAUUCCAUUUCGUUACUUGUUUACUUUAUGUUUUCGAAGCUUUUUUUUAAGUUGGACAAUUUAGGCCUAUGAGAAUAACUUGAGAACCCUUUAUGUUCUUUUAUAGUUAUCGAAAAGCUUUGGAUCCAUGUUUAUGAAUUUAAACUAACUAUAUAGUUCAAGUUUUUGAAUAGGAAAAAAAAUUUGUCAAGUUCCUUAAACUAAAUUAGUGGCUUUUUAUUUUAAUUUAGAGCUUUGUAUGAAUGACUUGAGGAUCGUUAAUAUCCUCUUAUAGUUGUUUUAAACAAGGUCUUUCAAUUCACAUUUAUGUGUUGAAGCAUUUGUGUGGUUCAAAAUAUGACUAUGGACAAGAAUUUGAGAUAAAUCUUAAAAUUUUUAGAAGUAUCAAAAUACUUUUAUAUGAGUAUCAACCAAGAUUUUUUUUAAUUAAAUUUUUUUUUUAUAUAUAAAAUUAGCCAAAUUUUUAAAUCCGUUGGUCAACCGCGUGUUAGAGGAUUCUCUAAGGUGCCUAAGCCCUUCCUUAGAGAAUUAUUUGAACCCUUACCCAAAACUCUGAUUUUAUGUUUUCUUUUAAACUUCCCUUUUUUAUCUAUUUGGUUUUCUUAAUUUUUCCUAAAAGAUUAAGUGGCAACUUCCUAAAAUUAAAAUUUUGCAAAAUUGGCCAAAGUUGCGAAAUUGGCUUCGAAACCCUUUAGUUUUUGAAAUCGGGUCGUAACAAUAACAUGCACCGUCAAUUUAAAAGAAGUUGAAGCUACCACUUUACUUUGAAUUGUUGUUGUAAAUCAAUUAAUUGUCUUAUUUUUCCAAUGUAACUUGCUUCACUUAUUAUGGAUAUCGAUAUGUAAUAAUUUUUUUGAUGACAUAAAUAAUCAAAUAUAUAGAAUAUUUUUUAAUAAUUGAAAAGGGUCAAAAAUAUCCUUAAAUUAUCUGAAAUAGCUCAUAUAUACCUUUGAAGUAUAUUUCGGCUUAAAUAUAUCCUUAUCGGCAAACUAUUGGGUCAAAAAUACCCUUCUUAUUAACCGAAUCGAUCAAACGUGACUUAGAUGACAUGUGGAUGUCACAUGGCAUGCCACAUGAGCCAAUAGAAUUCCACUCAUGCCACAUAGACUAAUAAACUUAUCCGUAAUUUCUCCAUUUUUCGUAGAAUUUAGAAACCAUUUUACUUGAAACAUAGAACCCCUUUUCCUCAUUUCUCCAUUUCCUUAGAACGAUUUCACAAAAUACAUAAGUUCUAAGGGAAGGGUAUUUUUGACCCUAUAGUUUGAGGGGAAGGGUAUUUUUGAGCCGAAAUAUAGUUCAAGGAUAUAUUUGAGUUAUUCGAAUGGUUCAAGAGUAUUUUUGACCCAC
rnacentral:lncRNA from 1 species